CCUGGAGACUCCUACGGGAGGCAGCAGUGGGGAAUUUUGGACAAUGGGCGCAAGCCUGAUCCAGCCAUGCCGCGUGUCUGAAGAAGGCCUUCGGGUUGUAAAGGACUUUUGUCAGGGAAGAAAAGGCUUUUGAUAAUACCAGGAGCUGAUGACGGUACCUGAAGAAUAAGCACCGGCUAACUACGUGCCAGCAGCCGCGGUAAUACGUAGGGUGCGAGCGUUAAUCGGAAUUACUGGGCGUAAAGCGGGCGCAGACGGUUUGUUAAGCAGGAUGUGAAAUCCCCGGGCUCAACCCGGGAACUGCGUUCUGAACUGGCAGGCUAGAGUGUGUCAGAGGGGGGUAGAAUUCCACGUGUAGCAGUGAAAUGCGUAGAGAUGUGGAGGAAUACCGAUGGCGAAGGCAGCCCCCUGGGAUAACACUGACGUUCAUGCCCGAAAGCGUGGGUAGCAAACAGGAUUAGAUACCCUUGUAGUCCUAG
rnacentral:rRNA from 1 species